rnacentral:rRNA from 1 species
AGCGAACGCUGGCGGCAGGCCUAACACAUGCAAGUCGAGCGCCCCGCAAGGGGAGCGGCAGACGGGAGAGUAACACGUGGGAACGUACCCUUUGGUUCGGAACAACCCAGGGAAACUUGGGCUAAUACCGGAUAAGCCCUUACGGGGAAAAAUUCAUCGCCGAAGGAUCGGCCAGCGUCUGAUUAGCUAGUUGGUGGGGUAACGGCCGACCAAGGGGACGAUCAGUAGCUGGGCUGAGAGGAGAAUCAGCCUCACUUGGACUGAGACACGGCCCAGAAUCCGACGGGAGGCAGCAGUGGGGAAUAUUGGACAAUGGGCGCAAGCCUGAUCCAGCCAUGCCGCGUGGGUGAUGAAGGCCCUAGGGUUGUAAAGCCCUUUCGGCGGGGAAGAUAAUGACGGUACCCGCAGAAGAAGCCCCGGCUAACUUCGUGCCAGCCGCCGCAGUAAUAC